rfam:Triticum aestivum genome assembly, contig: Triticum_aestivum_CS42_TGACv1_scaffold_158456_2DL
GAUAGGAAGAGGAAGAAAGAGAGGUCCUAAGGGCGGUGGGAAUGAGAACGUAGAGGAAAGACUAACUAAUUGGUUUGUCAUCUCUUGUGUUGUGGUGGAAAUUUGGUUUGGUAUUUCCCAAUGCCUCUCAUUCCUAUCAUUCUUAUGCGCUCCUUCCUCUUCCUUUUUGUU